rnacentral:rRNA from 1 species
UACGUAGGGUGCAAGCGUUGUCCGGAAUUAUUGGGCGUAAAGGGCUCGUAGGCGGUCCAUCGCGUCGGGAGUGAAAAGCUGGGGCUUAACCCCAGUCCUGCUUUCGAUACGGGUGGACUAGAGGUAGGCAGGGGAGAACGGAAUUCCUGGUGUAGCGGUGAAAUGACGCAGAUAUCAGGAGGAACACCGGUGGCGAAGGCGGUUCUCUGGGCCUUACCUGACGCUGAGGAGCGAAAGCGUGGGGAGCGAACAGG